rnacentral:lncRNA from 10 species
CUUGGACCAAGGUUGUAGAGGUGGUCAGGAUAGGAGGCGGGCUUUGCUGAGGGAUCCGACGGAUGAGAGGGAAGGGGAGGAGCCAAGUCUGCCUCUCAGGGUUUGUCCUGAGUAUCUGGAGAUGAUGGUGCCAUUGACAAAGCUGGAAAAGAUGAGAGACGAGCAGGUGUCCAAGGGCACAUUAGACAUCCAAGUGGAGGUGUUGAGUAGAUUGUUGGAUGUGCAAGUUCACAUAUGGGAGAGGUCAGAGC